rnacentral:rRNA from 1 species
CCCUUAGAGUUUGAUCCUGGCUCAGAGCGAACGCUGGCGGCAGGCCUAACACAUGCAAGUCGAGCGCCGUAGCAAUACGGAGCGGCAGACGGGAGAGUAACACGUGGGAACGUACCCUUCAGUUCGGAACAACCCAGGGAAACUUGGGCUAAUACCGGAUACGUCCGUAAGGAGAAAGAUUUAUCGCUGAAGGAUCGGCCCGCGUCUGAUUAGCUAGUUGGUGAGGUAACGGCUCACCAAGGCGACGAUCAGUAGCUGGUCUGAGAGGAUGAUCAGCCUCACUGGGACUGAGACACGGCCCAGACUCCUACGGGAGGCAGCAGUGGGGAAUAUUGGACAAUGGGCGCAAGCCUGAUCCAGCCAUGCCGCGUGGAUGAUGAAGGCCCUAGGGUUGUAAAGUCCUUUCGACGGGGAAGAUAAUGACGGUACCCGUAGAAGAAGCCCCGGCUAACUUCGUGCCAGCAGCCGCGGUAAUACGAAGGGGGCUAGCGUUGCUCGGAAUCACUGGGCGUAAAGCGCACGUAGGCGGACUCUUAAGUCGGGGGUGAAAUCCUGGAGCUCAACUCCAGAACUGCCUUCGAUACUGGGAGUCUUCGAG